GGUUUUCUGUGCUUUUUUGGCUCUUAAAAUACCAAUGGUGGAUUGUUAUUUUGUUUUUGUUUUUGUUUUUUGUUUUGAGAAAAAAAAGUCAUUCAAGCCCUUUGUGUGUAAUAGCCCCCAGGGGUGGCAGCUGUGCAGUCGCAUCUCUUUAGCACACAGGAUCUGUUCACGUGUGAACUGCUGCGCUACACAUCAGUGUUAACUCCCUACAGAUUACACUCUAAUCCCGCUGCUCCCGAGGAGCGGCCUUUGCUAAAUCGGGUAUAUAGUAUGCCUUUUUCCUCGUCAAACUGCCUAAGUAGGGGUUUGUUCUCUCCCUGAAGCACUUGUUCAACUCCUGUUAAAGCCGCGUGCCUCAAGGGGAGGCUGGACCCCAAGUGUUUACCCACUUAAAUAUGUUCUGGGGUUUCAGGUAAAUGUUUGUGAUUUUUUUUUUCCUUACAUGAAUAAGUUUGGUUUUGAUUUUUUUUUAAUUGAAUGCAAAAAAUUUGUGUUGUGAUACAAAUUAAGUUUGUGACAAGAAAUGCCCAAAUCCAAGGACAUAAGAGGUCAAGCUCAGGGAAGGAACCUCCUUUUCACUCAGGCUUGGGGCCUUCAGCGAGGUCUCCAGAGCAUUCCGUGGUAUGAGAGACAGUGAGGAGGGAGGGCACCUGGUGCGGGCACCUCCAGCGUCCUGGCUCUUGGCAUUGUCCGUCUUAACCUUAUUUACAUGGAGUUCUUUGUAUUUGUGAAUCUGUUUAACUGGUUUGAGUUUACCAAAGAGUGACUUAUCCAAAAUUGUCUUUGACAAAAAUAUCCAUUGCUUUGAUUGUACAGUUCAGGUUCAAACAUUGUAAUGGGACUGUUAAGGGGCAGAAAAUUGAUUGAGUUUCUCUCUAAGAAUCAUGAUUCCACAUUUUGCAAGUUCCACUUGCUCCCAUUCGUGUUGCAAACACUUUACCCUUUCCACUGCUCGCAGUGUUAAGAAUGAAUUCUCAAGCCAUAACACAGUACUGUAAAGUUCCGCAGGGCUUCGAGGGAGGCAGCGCCUAGGCCAGCACGGAGCUGUGUAGCCUCUCUGAGCAUUCGCACUGUCAUGCUUCCCAGGGGCGUGACUGGUGAGAGAUUAACUCCAUUCAGAUCGGGCAGCAGCAAUUAAUUGUGCCUUGCCGCAUGAGGAUGUGUCAGGAGGAUUAACAUGACCACAGAACCGAAACAUUCUCUCCCUGAAGUUCACUUCACGUCUCCGCAGACGAAGUACGCUGUGUAACUCCUUAGAGCAACUCUUUUUGGAAAGCAAAGUCCCUAUUUCUGUACAGUUUUAGGUUAGGUGUUUCAUUUAUAACAGAUGCAGAAAUCAAUUAAGAUAAAGUGAUAUGUGAAGAAAUCUUUUACGGUAAAAUAUAUCCUGAAUUCAUAUAGGCUUGUUCAUAAUUGAGUCUCUUCUUGAGCUACCUUUUCACUAUUAGACAAUGUGAAGACAGUGACAGCGUCCUUUUCUAGAGAUACUUAGCCCGUUAUUACAAACUGUGAAGACAAAGAAUUUUAUACUUUUACUAAUGUUUGUGGUUUUAAACAGUUAUUUUCAUUCUAAUCAGUUCUCUACCCUCUAAUUUCUACUAAAGCUGUAAAUACAUUUAGAAAUUAUAUUUGUAAAUACAGUAUAUGGAGACAAGUUAAUUUUUUGGUCAGUGGAAAAAGCCUCCCAACCAAUUGGCUCUGCCUUGGCAGUUGUGGUUUUUUUUUUUUAGUUUAGGUGUUUUUGUUUUUUGUUUUUUUGUUUUUUCUUAACAGCAGAAAGGAUACUGUCGGUUCACUGUUGAGCAGAAUAUACUGUAGAACGAAAUUGAUAAUUUUUAAAUCUUCCAGAGCAUGAGUAAAUGUCUUUUCUAAUGCUAGCAAAUAUAACCAACUCUUUGUUUUUCCCUUAGCCCAGACCAUAUAUAGGCCUGCAUAUUUUGUGUGUGGUUUUGUUUUUAUUUUUGUUCUUACAGCCUAGACUCUAGGAAAAAUUUGCAGGAACACAAAACAAGGGCUGGGGGGAAUAUCAUCUAUGUGAAUGAGCUUUACUUUAAAGAGAUCAAUGUAUUUUAUUUUAUCAACUUUUUCUCUUAGUUACUGUGAUUUUUGUUGUUGUUGUCCUCGUUAUUGUUAAAUUCUGUAAUGGUUUCCUGUGAAGCCUCCACUGAAAGGGACUCAAAUAUGCAACACCUAAACUAUUUUCCAAGGGCACAUGCCCCUUGAAUGGUGCUUCUAGACUGGUCAGGGUUAUUUAUUAAAUUUUAUAUAUGAAAGUAUUGGGGAAUUAUGUAAAUUCUUUAUAUGAAACUAUCUAGUUCAUAAAUCAUAGAUUUCAUAUUACUCAGUGCAACUGAACUAAAAGUUCAGAAAAGUCAUUCACAUUGUUCCAAAUUUGUAAUGGUUGUCACAUGUCACAUGCGUCUUUUUCAGUAAGUGCCAGAGUGUUCCCACUGUUUCUGCCCAGUGCUUGACUUCUCGGCCCAGAAGGGAACCUGCUUUCUCUGGUUUCCUCCCUGGGUCUGGCACAGACAGGGCUAUUGUAGUUCUUGAUCAAGUCCUGGAGUCAGCCUUGCCUGGCUCUCCUUGUAGCAGAUUCAGUCCACAGACCUCUUGCUGCCCCUCAGUGACAAGUAUGCUGUGAAUUCAACCUUUGGACUUGCUGCCCAAGCCUUUGGUUGCUGCCCUGACUAUUGUAAGAGGUAAACUUACCUGGUUUGUUUGAGAAUGACCAUUUUCCUAAUGUGAAAACCAUCUCUCUCACCACUUUUAUUAGUAGGGCUAACAUUUUUUUCCGUUAUAAAUGGUUGAGCAAUUUGAAUGACUUAACACAGUGUCAUUAUCUUGCAAUAUAAACUGGUAACCUCACAACUCCACACUUCAUCACCAUAUGAAGUAAAUGAAGCUAGCUAAGCGGAUGCUGUAUCAACUAGUAACUUGCCAUUAAGGAUUAUUUUAUAGCAUGAAUUUAAGACUAUUUAUUCAAAUGAUAUUUUACUCUUGUAUUCACUUUGUUUUAGAUUUGUGACAUGAAUAUUUCAGUGCUGCUUAAUUUUGUUCUGAAUUCUUGUUUCUUGCUUGUAAAUGGCUUUUUUAUGGUAUAAAUAAAGUCAAUGGACAUUGCUGUUUGUAAAUAAAAAUGCUGCUAGA
ensembl:lncRNA